rnacentral:rRNA from 1 species
GAUGAACGCUGGCGGCGUGCUUAACACAUGCAAGUCGAACGGAAAGGCCCUGCUUUUGUGGGGUGCUCGAGUGGCGAACGGGUGAGUAACACGUGAGUAACCUGCCCUUGACUUUGGGAUAACUUCAGGAAACUGGGGCUAAUACCGGAUAGGAGCUCCUGCUGCAUGGUGGGGGUUGGAAAGUUUCGGCGGUUGGGGAUGGACUCGCGGCUUAUCAGCUUGUUGGUGGGGUAGUGGCUUACCAAGGCUUUGACGGGUAGCCGGCCUGAGAGGGUGACCGGCCACAUUGGGACUGAGAUACGGCCCAGACUCCUACGGGAGGCAGCAGUGGGGAAUAUUGCACAAUGGGGGGAAGCCUGAUGCAGCAACGCCGCGUGCGGGAUGACGGCCUUCGGGUUGUAAACCGCUUUCGCCUGUGACGAAGCGUGAGUGACGGUAAUGGGUAAAGAAGCACCGGCUAACUACGUG